UACGGGGGGAGCAAGCGUUGCUCGGAAUCACUGGGCGUAAAGGGUGCGUAGGCGGCUUGGUGGGUCUGGUGUGAAAGCCCCGGGCUCAGCCCGGGAAGGGCGCUAGAAACUGCCGAGCUGGAGUGCCGGAGGGGAGAGUGGAAUUCCUGGUGUAGCGGUGAAAUGCGUAGAUAUCAGGAGGAGUACCGGUGGCGAAAGCGACUCUCUGGACGGCAACUGACGCUGAGGCACGAAAGCGUGGGGAGCAAACAGG
rnacentral:rRNA from 1 species